rnacentral:pre_miRNA from 1 species
UUCUCAUUCUAAUUCUUGGAACAUUGAAAUUGACAGAAGAGAGUGAGCACACAGAGGCAGUUGUAUAAUUGUAUACAUGUUGCUUUUGCGUGCUCACUGCUCUUUCUGUCAGCUUCCAGUACCGGAAUCUGACUUGGCCCUCU